rnacentral:snRNA from 1 species
UGUCGAGUAGACCUUGUUG